AUUGAACGCUGGCGGCAGGCCUAACACAUGCAAGUCGAGCGGAUGAAGGGAGCUUGCUCCUGGAUUCAGCGGCGGACGGGUGAGUAAUGCCUAGGAAUCUGCCUUGUAGUGGGGGAUAACGUCCGGAAACGGGCGCUAAUACCGCAUACGUCCUGAGGGAGAAAGUGGGGGAUCUUCGGACCUCACGCUAUCAGAUGAGCCUAGGUCGGAUUAGCUAGUUGGUGGGGUAAAGGCCUACCAAGGCGACGAUCCGUAACUGGUCUGAGAGGAUGAUCAGUCACACUGGAACUGAGACACGGUCCAGACUACUACGGGAGGCAGCAGUGGGGAAUAUUGGACAAUGGGCGAAAGCCUGAUCCAGCCAUGCCGCGUGUGUGAAGAAGGUCUUCGGAUUGUAAAGCACUUUAAGUUGGGAGGAAGGGCAGUAAGUUAAUACCUUGCUGUUUUGACGUUACCAACAGAAUAAGCACCGGCUAACUUCGUG
rnacentral:rRNA from 1 species